rnacentral:lncRNA from 1 species
CACUGCUUCUUCUAUUGAAGAAUGAGCUAUAUGCUUAACACAGGACUCUGAAAAUUACUUUUCACUGGCCUGGUUUAUUAGUCAAGCUGAAUCCAAAAUACCUGAAGUACUUCACUUUCCUGAAAGCAGGAAGCACCAUCUUAUUAUACGAAUACAAGCUACUUGCUUAUCAGUUGUUUUCAUAAUUAAAUCAGAAUAAGCUACGAUCAAUAAAAAUAUCGUAGUAUAGUUACAGCUACUUUGUUGGCUGUAACGUGAUUUAAUUGUAG